UACGGAGGGAGCUAGCGUUGUUCGGAAUUACUGGGCGUAAAACGCGCGUAGGCGGCUUUGUAAGUUAGAGGUGAAAGCCCGGGGCUCAACCCCGGAAUUGCCUUUAAGACUGCAUCGCUUGAAUCCGGGAGAGGUGAGUGGAAUUCCGAGUGUAGAGGUGAAAUUCGUAGAUAUUCGGAAGAACACCAGUGGCGAAGGCGGCUCACUGGACCGGUAUUGACGCUGAGGUGCGAAAGCGUGGGGAGCAAACAGG
rnacentral:rRNA from 1 species